GAUGAACGCUGGCGGCGUGCCUAAUACAUGCAAGUCGAGCGAAUGGAUUAAGAGCUUGCUCUUAUGAAGUUAGCGGCGGACGGGUGAGUAACACGUGGGUAACCUGCCCAUAAGACUGGGAUAACUCCGGGAAACCGGGGCUAAUACCGGAUACCAUUUUGAACCGCAUGGUUCGAAAUUGAAAGGCGGCUUCGGCUGUCACUUAUGGAUGGACCCGCGUCGCAUUAGCUAGUUGGUGAGGUAACGGCUCACCAAGGCAACGAUGCGUAGCCGACCUGAGAGGGUGAUCGGCCACACUGGGACUGAGACACGGCACAGACUCCUACGGGAGGCAGCAGUAGGGAAUCUUCCGCAAUGGACGAAAGUCUGACGGAGCAACGCCGCGUGAGUGAUGAAGGCUUUCGGGUCGUAAAACUCUGUUGUUAGGGAAGAACAAGUGCUAGUUGAAUAAGCUGGCACCUUGACGGUACCUACCAGAAAGCCACGGCUAACUACGUGCCAGCCGCCGCGGUAA
rnacentral:rRNA from 1 species